UGACAACCAUUGUGACUGCCUAGC
rnacentral:piRNA from 1 species